GACGAACGCUGGCGGCGUGCUUAACACAUGCAAGUCGAACGAAGAGCGAUGGAAGCUUGCUUCUAUCAAUCUUAGUGGCGAACGGGUGAGUAACGCGUAAUCAACCUUCCCUUCAGAGGGGGACAACAGUUGGAAACGACUGCUAAUACCGCAUACGAUCUAAUCUCGGCAUCGAGGAUAGAUGAAAGGUGGCCUCUACAUGUAAGCUAUCACUGAAGGAGGCGAUUGCGGCUGGUUAGCUAGUUGGAGGGGUAACGGCCCACCAAGGCGAUGAUCAGUAGCCGGUCUGGGAGGAUGAACGGCCACAAUGGGACUGGGACACGGCCCAGGCUCCUUCGGGAAGCAGCAGUGGGGAAUCUUCCGCAAUGGACGAAAGUCUGACGGAGCAACGCCGGGUGAGGGAUGACGGCCUUCGGGUUGGAAAGCUCUGUUAAUCGGGACGAAAGGCCUUCUUGCGAAUAGGGAGAAGGAUUGACGGUACCGGAAGAGAAAGCCACGGCUAACUACGUG
rnacentral:rRNA from 1 species